UAAACUUAUAAUUUAGUCGUUCAGAUAGAAAUAUUAAAAAUUCAAUUAAUAACGAAAUGAAAUUAAAAUGAACAACCUUAAAAUUAUCAUAGAAAAUCAAACAAAUAAAAAUAUAAAUUCUUGAGAACCAAGAGGCAGUUUGAUCUCAUUGAUAGUUCUUUCCUCUUAAGGGUGACAUUUCCCUUAGGAGUGGCUCCAUCUAACAAAUAGUUUUCUCCUCUUAAUCCCACAACACAUCAUCACAUAUCAAUUAAGGAGUUUACAUCUCGUUUAUAGUUUUUUUUCUCUUAUGAAUGACAUUUCUCAUAGGAGCAGCUCCGUCUAACAUCCCUAAUAAAAACGAGGUAAUUAGGUGCAUAAUUAUAACAACGAUUUUCAUAACACGUUAAAAAACAAUCUCUCAUUUCAUCGUAACUGAUCAAAAAACUUAUUCAAACAUAACAAUUCAAUAUCUAAAUACUUUAUAACUCAUAAAUAAAUCAAACUACUAACAUAUUAUAAAACAAAAAACUAUGAAAAUAAAUAAAUGACGAAACCGAGAUAAAUUCAAAGGUUGUGUGUUUCUCAAAAAUUUUAAAUAAAUACUUUAACAUAUAAAACAAGUAAAAUAAUAAUUAUGUGUAUUUACCUCAAAGAGUCUCAAUAAAUAACUUUUAAAAAGUGUGUACCCUUAUUAUUCCUUAACGCACAAACCCUAACCCAAAAACUUAUGGAAAUAUGAGAAAACUUACUUAGCGAAUGUAUAUCCUUCCUAUGGAUUUUGGAUUUAAGGAGACUAACUUCUGUCUUUAAUUGAAAAGAAGAAGAGAAAAAAAAAAUGAAAAUGGGGUGAGAUAGAGAAGGAGCCGAGAGAGA
rnacentral:lncRNA from 1 species